rnacentral:rRNA from 1 species
AGGACGAACGCUGGCGGCGCGCCUCAUACAUGCAAGUCGAGCGAGAAACUCGGAGCUUGCUCCGGGUGGAGAGCGACGAACGGGUGAGGAACACGUGAGAAACCUGCCCCGAAGACCGGGAUAACACCAGGAAACCGGUGCUAAUACCGGAUGCCCUCACCGGACCGCAUGAUCCGGUGAGGAAAUGGAUUCCGACUUCGGGAUGGUCUCGCGGUCCUAUCAGCUUGUUGGUGGGUAACGGCCUACCAAGGCGACGACGGGUA